rnacentral:rRNA from 1 species
UACGUAGGGGGCAAGCGUUGCUCGGAAUUACUGGGCGUAAAGGGCUCGUAGGCGGCCAACUAAGUCAGACGUGAAAUCCCUCGGCUUAACCGGGGAACUGCGUCUGAUACUGGAUGGCUUGAGAUUGGGAGAGGGAUGCGGAAUUCCAGGUGUAGCGGUGAAAUGCGUAGAUAUCUGGAGGAACACCGGUGGCGAAGGCGGCAUCCUGGACCAACACUGACGCUGAGUGAGCGAAAGCCAGGGGAGCAAACGGG